rnacentral:snRNA from 1 species
UUGCUUUCUUUGGCAGCAAAUAUGCUAAAAUUGGAACAAUACAGAGAAGAUUAGCAUGGCCCACGCUAAAGCAUGACAUGCAAAUUCAUGUAGAGUUAGGUAUUUUU